rnacentral:rRNA from 1 species
UAUGAUCCAGAGUACCACGGGACACGUGAAACCCUGUGGGAAGCAGGAGGGACCACCCUCCAAGGCUAAAUACUACCUAGUGACCGAUAGCGUAUAGUACCGUGAGGGAAAGGUGAAAAGAACCCCGUGAGGGAAGUGAAAUAGAACCUGAAACCCUGCACUUACAAGCUGUGGAAGCACAUUUCUUGUGUGACCGCGUACUUUUUGUAGAACGGGCCAACGAGUUACGUUA